AUCCAGCUAAUGAGUCCUAAAUAAGAUGAAACGCGGGUCCAGGAU
rfam:Schistosoma haematobium scaffold365_18, whole genome shotgun sequence.